rnacentral:rRNA from 1 species
UACGUAGGGUGCAAGCGUUGUCCGGAAUUAUUGGGCGUAAAGAGCUCGUAGGCGGUCUGUCGCGUCUGCUGUGAAAACUCGGGGCUUAACCCCGGGCCUGCAGUGGGUACGGGCAGACUAGAGUGCGGUAGGGGAGACUGGAAUUCCUGGUGUAGCGGUGAAAUGCGCAGAUAUCAGGAGGAACACCGGUGGCGAAGGCGGGUCUCUGGACCGGUUCUGACGCUGAGGCGCGAAAGCGUGGGGAGCAAACGGG